UGAGAUCGUGUCCGGUGGCGGUUCCGACUGGUCCUGAGUUUGAUGGAUCGUAUUGGAUGGCAAUUGGUGGUGGGUUGGGGUUGCGUGGUGGGAGGCGUGACGAGUUUGGGGGUGGGACGGGUGAAGACGAGGAUGCGGCUAUGCGCUUUGGGGGCGGAAACGGAGGAAUUACCUCCAAAUUAGUUUCCUCUCCUGUCUGCACCUUCAUUUCCCAUCCUUCUCCAAAACCCUAGCUCAUCCCUCUCUCCCCGCCUUCAUCUUGCGUUCUUCAAACAAGGCACCACACCACAUUCUUCAAACAAGGCCUCUUCCAUUCGUAUUGGUCUUGGUCUUCCGUUGCAUUUGUGGGCUGAGCGAGGCUCCAAUCGUUCGUCGAAGGUUCUGUGCCUCCAAUCGUUUGUCAUAUCUUAUGAUAUUGUGACACAGUUGUGAUUUUCCAGAACUAUGGUGAGAAAUCCGUGUGGCAGAGGUGUGAUCCUAAGAUGAUCAGUUGGCUAAUAUGAACACCCACGAUGUCGUCAAAUUUUCACGUCUUCUCGACAACGAGAUUCGCAUUCUCAAGGUGACUUUUGAUGUGAUAAAUCAAAAGCAGUGGAUUUCAAUAUUAUCCACCAUCUAAUCCUGAUUUCCAAGCUAUUGAAGAAGAAAAGCCUCCACUGUUAUUGAAGAGCCACGGACAAAAAGGGAAUUUGUUUCUUUCUUGGAAAUGGACUUAUUUGUGCUCUCUUCAUCUUGUAUUUAUUGGGGAUAUGAUCAAGCGAACAUACCAAAUAAUGAAAGUAAUGAAGAUCAAAAUUAGACAUUAUUUCCUUUUUAGUAAUGUAAUGAACAUCUCAGUCAUAUUUUUGUAUUUUAAUAUAGUAUUGAAUAUCUUUCUUUUUAAUAUAUGAACAAUUAGUCGUAUGAGCAUAUUAAUAUGUUGA